rnacentral:rRNA from 1 species
UGGGGAAUUUUGGACAAUGGGGGAAACCCUGAUCCAGCCAUCCCGCGUGUGCGAUGAAGGCCUUCGGGUUGUAAAGCACUUUUGGCAGGGAAGAAACGGCGCUGGUUAAUACCUGGCGUCACUGACGGUACCUGCAGAAUAAGCACCGGCUAACUACGUGCCAGCAGCCGCGGUAAUACGUAGGGUGCAAGCGUUAAUCGGAAUUACUGGGCGUAAAGCGUGCGCAGGCGGUUUGGCAAGAAGGAUGUGAAAUCCCAGGGCUUAACCUUGGAACUGCAUUCUUAACUGCCAGGCUAGAGUAUGUCAGAGGGGGGUAGAAUUCCACGUGUAGCAGUGAAAUGCGUAGAUAUGUGGAGGAAUACCGAUGGCGAAGGCAGCCCCCUGGGAUAAUACUGACGCUCAUGCACGAAAGCGUGGGGAGCAAACAGG